UACGUAGGGACCGAGCGUUGUCCGGAAUCAUUGGGCGUAAAGAGCGUGUAGGCGGCUCGAUAAGUCCGCUGUGAAAGUCCAGGGCUCAACCCUGGAAGGCCGGUGGAAACUGUCGGGCUAGAGUCCGGAAGAGGCGAGUGGAAUUCCCGGUGUAGCGGUGAAAUGCGCAGAUAUCGGGAGGAACACCAAUGGCGAAGGCAGCUCGCUGGGACGGUACUGACGCUGAGACGCGAAAGCGUGGGGAGCAAGCAGG
rnacentral:rRNA from 1 species